UAAAAAAUAACCCCCUCCCCCUCCUUAAAUUAAAACAAUAUGUUGAUAACAAUCUCAAUCUCACCAUAUUAUCAUUCACACAUUGUAACUUUUUAUAUACAUAUUUAAAUAGAAACUACAAAGACAUUUGCCAUGAAUAGUGUGGAUUUUAAAUUUCCUUGUCCCUGUCUUCACUUUCCUCACUAGUAUCAUGAUCUUCGUCAACAUGCACUUAAAGAAAAAACACAAAGAAAUAGAAUUUCAUUAAGAUUAUUUUCUAAUCAAUGUUAUCCAUUUUCCAGUUUUAAAAUUGUGAUAAGACAUAAUUUUGAUUAUGUAGCAUUAGAAGAUAAUUUAGUUGGACAAAAUUGGGGCAUGAAAAUUUUCAGUUUUUAAACAGAAUUCAGCCUUUUUAUCCAAUAUAUGAACCACACCAACUGGUGCAAACAUUCACAUUCUUCCAUCCAUACUCCGGCGGAAUAAUUCUAUUUGGAUCGAUCUAGUUGUAGUAGACCACCACCAUCUUGCAACUAAAUGAGUGCGACGUAUCUUUUGGAGUAGUGAUCUUGAACAUGGUGUGAAGCUCCAUCCUUAUGGCCCUAUGGGAUAGUAAUUCUGCUUGGAUUGAACCCUAAAAAAAUGGCAAUGCUUAGAACAGUUAAUGUUACGGUUUAGAUAUACUUCAAAAGUAGUUUACGAAAGAUUUUCAUGGUUUAAUUACAGCGGAUGAGGAACAAAAGCAUUUCUACUACGUUGCGUUCAUGAACACAAUAACAUAUUUUCUGAAUGUAAAAUAAAACACUUAAAAUAAAAUAUAUCCAAAAGUGUAUUGCGCUAUUAGGUAAAAAUAAUCCUAAUAUAUAAUAAUAGAGUCCUAUUAUUUUAUCAAUUCUGAAAGAUAAACUCAACAUAAUCACUUAAUAUAGAGUAGGGUGAACUCAGGAAAGUUGAAACACGUUUUACUGAAUUACUUGGAGAUGCUUCAAAUUAGAAAAACCACAGUUUUACACAACAAACAUACAUCUAUUUACUAAUAUUGAAACGAGUUAAAAUACAAUAAUGAUAAGUA
rnacentral:lncRNA from 1 species